GAUGAACGCUGGCGGCGUGCCUAAUACAUGCAAGUCGAGCGAACAGACGAGGAGCUUGCUCCUCUGACGUUAGCGGCGGACGGGUGAGUAACACGUGGAUAACCUACCUAUAAGACUGGGAUAACUUCGGGAAACCGGAGCUAAUACCGGAUAACAUGUUGAACCGCAUGGUUCAACAGUGAAAGACGGUCUUGCUGUCACUUCUAGAUGGAUCCGCGCCGCAUUAGCUAGUUGGUAAGGUAACGGCUUACCAAGGCAACGAUGCGUAGCCGACCUGAGAGGGUGAUCGGCCACACUGGAACUGAGACACGGUCCAGACGCCUGCGGGAGGCAGCAGUAGGGAAUCUUCCGCAAUGGGCGGAAACCUGACAGAGCAACGCCGCGUGAGUGAAGAAGGUCUUCGGAUCGUAAAACUCUGUUAUUAGGGAAGAACAAAUGUGUAAGUAACUAUGCACGUCUUGACGGUACCGGAUCAGAAAGCCACGGCUAACUACGUG
rnacentral:rRNA from 1 species